rnacentral:pre_miRNA from 1 species
AAUAAAUCAAUUUUUCACUUUUUACCUACAAUUUUUGACUCUUCGUCUUAUUCAAAUUUUUUUGCGAUUGAUAUUUUUGUUUUUUAUUAGAUGAUAAAUCAUGAAUAGUAUUUUAUGUGUGACUAACUUUUUUCUAAUUUUCUGAAAAUUUCUCAAAUAAGACGGAUGGUCAAACGUUGGAUAUGGAAACC